UUCCUACGGGGGGCAGCAGUGGGGGAUAUUGCACAAUGGGGGAAACCCUGAUGCAGCGAUGCCGCGUGAAUGAAGACGGCCUUCGGGUUGUAAAGUUCUGUCGCAGGGGACGAAAAUGACGGUACCCUGCAAGAAAGCUCCGGCUAACUACGUGCCAGCAGCCGCGGUAAUACGUAGGUGACAAGCGUUGUCCGGAUUUACUGGGUGUAAAGGGCGCGUAGGCGGACUGUCAAGUCAGUCGUGAAAUACCGAAGCUUAACUUCGGGGCUGCGAUUGAAACUGACAGCCUUGAGUAUCGGAGAGGA
rnacentral:rRNA from 1 species